GAUGAACGCUGGCGGCGUGCCUAAUACAUGCCAGUCGAGCGAACAGACGAGGAGCUUGCUCCUCUGACGUUAGCGGCGGACGGGUGAGUAACACGUGGAUAACCUACCUAUAAGACUGGGAUAACUUCGGGAAACCGGAGCUAAUACCGGAUAAUAUAUUGAACCGCAUGGUUCAAUAGUGAAAGACGGUUUUGCUGUCACUUAUAGAUGGAUCCGCGCCGCAUUAGCUAGUUGGUAAGGUAACGGCUUACCAAGGCAACGAUGCGUAGCCGACCUGAGAGGGUGAUCGGCCACACUGGAACUGAGACACGGUACAGACUCCUACGGGAGGCAGCAGUAGGGAAUCUUCCGCAAUGGGCGAAAGCCUGACGGAGCAACGCCGCGUGAGUGAUGAAGGUCUUCGGAUCGUAAAACUCUGUUAUUAGGGAAGAACAAAUGUGUAAGUAACUAUGCACGUCUUGACGGUACCUAAUCAGAAAGCCACGGCUAACUACGUG
rnacentral:rRNA from 1 species